ACGGAAGGCAGCAGUGGGGAAUAUUGCACAAUGGGGGAAACCCUGAUGCAGCGACGCCGCGUGAGUGAAGAAGUAUCUCGGUAUGUAAAGCUCUAUUAGCAGGGAAGAAAAUGACGGUACCUGACUAAGAAGCCCCGGCUAACUACGUGCCAGCAGCCGCGGUAAUACGUAGGGGGCAAGCGUUAUCCGGAAUUACUGGGUGUAAAGGGUGCGUAGGUGGUAUGGCAAGUCAGAAGUGAAAACCCAGGGCUUAACUCUGGGACUGCUUUUGAAACUGUCAGACUGGAGUGCAGGAGAGGUAAGCGGAAUUCCUAGUGUAGCGGUGAAAUGCGUAGAUAUUAGGAAGAACACCGGUGGCGAAGGCGGCUUUCUGGACUGUAACUGACACUGAGGCACGAAAGCGUGGGGAGCAAACAGGAUUAGAUACCCUGGUA
rnacentral:rRNA from 1 species